AUGUCCCAGAUGACUAAUCUCUCGCUUGUAGUUUCGAGUAAGAAGAGUGGAGGGAAGGAGAUGGCAGAUUUGUCUGAUAAUCCAAGCUCUAGCCACGGGCAGGCUGGCUCGAUGAUUGAGGCCGUGGACCAUGGAGAAGAUGUAGGGAUGCCUGAUGUGAUGCGCCAAAUUGUAAAAGAGUUGGAAUCCCUCGAGAUGGGAAGGAAGAUCGAAAGGUUUCCUUCAAGCUUGCCCCGCCUACCGGGGAUGGAGAAGGCCAAGGGCGUGUCUGGCUACACCCUCACCAGGGACUUGGACAAGUCGCGUGAGGAGAUGUAUUCGCCAGUAAUUGUCGAAGGGAAGGACAUGCCAGAUUUGCCAGAUAAUCCUCCAAGCUCUAGCCACGGGCAGGCUGGCUCGAUGAUGAAGGUUGUGUACCAUGGAGAAGAUGUAGAGAUGGCUGAUGCAAAUGCAAUACACAAACUUGUAAAAGAGUUUGAGAAGGAAUCCCUCGAGAUAGACAUGAAGAUCCAUAGGUUCCCUGCAAUCUUGGCUGAUAUGGGAGAUCAGUUCGUCAUCCCGAUGGCCCUGGCCAUUGGCCCAUACCACCAUGGCUUGUCCCGCCUCCAGGGGAUGGAGAAGGCAAAGCGCGUGGCUGCCUACACCCUCACCAGGGACUCGGGCAAGUCGUACAAAGAGAUGUAUGCACGGCUCCUCGCCGUCGCGGACCAGGCCCGUCGCCUCUAUGAUGAGGAUGCGGUGUUCGACAUCAGCAAAAGUAAGUUUGCGGAUAUGAUGUUUCACGAUGCCUGCUUCUUGCUGCAGUAUAUGCAAUUGUUUUCAAGCGAAGAAGAUGUGAUUGAGCAGUCGCCGCUGCAUCGUUUCUUCCUCUCCAAUGCAGCUUGCAUCGAUAAUGACAUCAUGCUCUUGGAAAACCAGAUGCCCUGGUCUGUCAUCCAAGCUCUGAUAACCGACACGAAAGUAGUUGUGGAUGACUUCAUUGCCCAUGUGUUCUUCUCUUCCUCUGACUACAACAACAUUGCGCCAUCAGACCUACCACCACAUCUUCUUGGCCUUCUCCGACUGCUGAAACAUGGAAGGUUAGGUAAAACACCAGAUGUACUCCCCUAUGCACCACCGUCUCCUAUUCGCGCCAUGGAACUUGAAAGAAUUGGCAUCAAGCUAGAUCAUAGCGAAACUGGUGCAUUUACUGAUAUUGGAUUCAGCAAAGGAUUCCUCUUUGACAAGUUGUUCCUGCCGCCACUGAUUAUGAGCCGUACAAGGGCAUCAUGGCUCGCCAACAUGGUGGCUUUCGAGGUAUGCACGGGUUCCGAGAAUAAGGGUAAUGCUUACAUUUGCUCCUACGUCGCCAUCUUCGCUAUGCUCAUGGUUCGGGAGGAGGACGUGCACAAGUUGCGAUCAAAGGGCUUCAUUGAGGGAGAACUCUCCGACAAGCAAAUUCUUGAAUUCUUCAAGCGACUUACCCAGCAAAUGACCCCCGGUCAUGACUACUUUAAAAUCUUGUUUGCUAUCGGAGACUGCAAGCGAAGGAGGUGGCUGCGGAUUAUGGUGUGGAAGUUUGUUUCUGAUAACGCUAAAGCCAUCGCCGUUGUGCUCUCCAUCAUCGGUGUUCUUGUGGGGAUCUUCAAGGCGCUCUUUUCUCUCAAGCAACACUAG
rnacentral:rRNA from 1 species